rnacentral:lncRNA from 1 species
GGAGACCCUCCGACGUUCAAGUCAGGUUUCCUGAAUAAGAGUCGUGUCCUUAGACAAGAGUUGCAGAGAAAAUAAAAAUGGAGUCCAGGCAGGAGAAGAAAAAGAAGAAGAUACCCCCUUGCAAGAGAAGACCCCCCGGUAUAUAGUGCUUCCUGUCCUUGUCACUCAAGCCCGUACGUACGGGCGUGUCAGGCACCUGCUCCAUGCGUAA